GCUGCGGCCCCCCCUUGCCGCCGCCGCCUCGCGGCGGCUCCUGGCCGCCCUCCUCUUCCUCCUCCUCGUCCAGGGCCCCGGGGCAGGCGGCGGCCCCCCCUCCUCCGGGGAAGGGGGAGAGGGCGUCCCCCGGCGGGGCCAGGAGGCUGCUCGGCCCGGGAGGUACCUCGGCCAUGUCCUAGAAGAGAGACCGACACAGACCCAGAGAGAAGGAGAACGCAUAUCUUUCCAGAGAGGAUGUAUGAAUUUAGGAACUCUAGCCUGCAUUAUACCUAAUAUCUGGACCCCAGAGCCAACCCUGAAUGUCCAGUAUGGACAAUGGGCACUAAGGAGUGGGAAAGGAAGGACUGGAGGAAAGGAUUUUUAAGGUACUGCCAUUGCAGGUCAGAGUUGAGGCAUAUUGGAGAAGUAUUGUGGGGAACCAUGCACUGCUUCUGCGCAGAGAAAUGCAGAGCCUGAUUUUCAAUUACGCUAAUGACUUCUUACACCAUUCUGGCACCAUGAAAGGGUCAUAAAGUGGAUGGAAAUGGCCCCCUGAGAAUACCCUCUGCACAGAGAGCCCUCCCUGACUGCUGAAGACCUGGCAUAAGGCCUUUAUGCCAGUCCUUAAUGUUGGCAUUCUUCCACCUUCUGUAAAAAAGUAAAGUUCAUUUGCUCCUGCUGCUGAUUGGCUGUGCUGUGUGACCAGCUAACCAAGUCUUGAUUAUGCCCUCAGUGCAGUUAUUUUUACAUUGUGGCUUAAUUAGAGUCUUUCCACCUCACUGCUGGCAUUCUUCCACCUUCUGCCAAAAGUAAUCCCCUCUUCCCGCCCCCCCAAAAAGCAGACGUGCUAACAGUAUUCAAAUUCUGAUGGCUGAAACAGAAUGGAGCAUGUGUUUUUUCUUAUUACAGAUGGGAACACUGUUAUUUUGAGUGUACUUCCAAACAAAACUCACACUGGGGAAAAAAGGCCCAGCACAGUAUACAAAGCAGACUGGCGGAUUUGUGAGUAGGUCAGGGGAAGAGAUCUCUCUGUUCCUCAGAAGAGGAGUGAGCCACCAGUGGCCUCAUUUCACCUCACCAUCACACUGUCUUCUGAAGUGGAGAUUGGGCUAAAAGUAGCCUUCUCUAUUCAACAGUAGCCUCUUUGCCUUCCUACCUCUUUUUUUUCAAUAGCUAUGAACACCAAAGAGUCUUUAUAACAGUGGCAUUAAAUAAUAAUAAAUAAUACCAAGCCUGCUGUCAACAGGCCCC